rnacentral:rRNA from 1 species
UACGAAGGGAGCUAGCGUUGUUCGGAAUCACUGGGCGUAAAGCGCACGUAGGCGGAUGUGUCAGUCAGGGGUGAAAUCCCGGAGCUCAACUUCGGAACUGCCUUUGAUACAGCACGUCUUGAGUCCGAUAGAGGUGGGUGGAAUUCCUAGUGUAGAGGUGAAAUUCGUAGAUAUUAGGAAGAACACCGGUGGCGAAGGCGGCUCUCUGGACCGAUACUGACGCUGAGGCGCGAAAGCGUGGGGAGCAAACAGG